GGGGAUGCCAGGCUUUGACGAUGAGACCUGACAUUGCAUACUUGCGUUAGCGGCGUGUCAUAUUCGCCGAGAGAUCCAAUGUGACAAAUAAAUAAGUGCAAAACUUAAAAACCGAGCUCAAACAUCUUUGCGAUCUUGGGCUCAAACAGCUAAAUUUUCUUUGGCUGUCUAACAAAUCGUGGUUGAGCCAUUUGCUCCUACGUGAAAUAUAACUACUGUCUCGCCGGUUAUGUUUCAAUUUAGAGACUCGUUAUAAAUCGAUUGAUUGCCGAUUUAUAAGACCUUUUAGCAAUUAACGAACGAAUGUUUUUUGUUUUAUUUUUAAGCAUUCGCCGUAGAUAAAUAAAACUAUGAGCGUAGAUGGUAUGGGAUGUCCUCGUCGGACGCGAGUUCGAUUCUCGCCAUCUCCACCA
rnacentral:tmRNA from 1 species